UUUGGUUAAGUUAGAAAGGGCGCACGGUGGAUGCCUUGACACUAGGAGUCGAUGAAGGACGGGACUAACGCCGAUAUGCUUCGGGGAGCUGUAAGUAAGCUUUGAUCCGAAGAUUUCCGAAUGGGGAAACCCACUAUACGUAAUGGUAUGGUAUCCUUAUCUGAAUACAUAGGGUAAGGAAGACAGACCCAGGGAACUGAAACAUCUAAGUACCUGGAGGAAGAGAAAGCAAAUGCGAUUUCCUGAGUAGCGGCGAGCGAAACGGAACAUAGCCCAAACCAAGAGGCUUGCCUCUUGGGGUUGUAGGACAUUCUAUACGGAGUUACAAAGGAACGAGGUAGACGAAGCGACCUGGAAAGGUCCGUCGUAGAGGGUAACAACCCCGUAGUCGAAACUUCGUUCUCUCUUGAAUGUAUCCUGAGUACGGCGGAACACGUGAAACUCCGUCGGAAUCUGGGAGGACCAUCUCCCAAGGCUAAAUACUCCCUAGUGAUCGAUAGUGAACCAGUACCGUGAGGGAAAGGUGAAAAGCACCCCGGAAGGGGAGUGAAAGAGAUCCUGAAACCGUGUGCCUACAAAUAGUCAGAGCCCGUUAACGGGUGAUGGCGUGCCUUUUGUAGAAUGAACCGGCGAGUUACGAUCCCGUGCGAGGUUAAGCUGAAGAGGCGGAGCCGCAGCGAAAGCGAGUCUGAAUAGGGCGUUUAGUACGUGGUCGUAGACCCGAAACCAGGUGAUCUACCCAUGUCCAGGGUGAAGUUCAGGUAACACUGAAUGGAGGCCCGAACCCACGCACGUUGAAAAGUGCGGGGAUGAGGUGUGGGUAGCGGAGAAAUUCCAAUCGAACCUGGAGAUAGCUGGUUCUCCCCGAAAUAGCUUUAGGGCUAGCCUUAAGUGUAAGAGUCUUGGAGGUAGAGCACUGAUUGGACUAGGGGUCCUCAUCGGAUUACCGAAUUCAGUCAAACUCCGAAUGCCAAUGACUUAUCCUUAGGAGUCAGACUGCGAGUGAUAAGAUCCGUAGUCAAAAGGGAAACAGCCCAGACCGCCAGCUAAGGUCCCAAAGUGUGUAUUAAGUGGAAAAGGAUGUGGAGUUGCUUAGACAACUAGGAUGUUGGCUUAGAAGCAGCCACCAUUUAAAGAGUGCGUAAUAGCUCACUAGUCGAGUGACUCUGCGCCGAAAAUGUACCGGGGCUAAAUACACCACCGAAGCUGCGGAUUGAUACCGAAUGGUAUCAGUGGUAGGGGAGCGUUCUAAGGACAGUGAAGUCAGACCGGAAGGACUGGUGGAGUGCUUAGAAGUGAGAAUGCCGGUAUGAGUAGCGAAAGACGGGUGAGAAUCCCGUCCACCGAAUGCCUAAGGUUUCCUGAGGAAGGCUCGUCCGCUCAGGGUUAGUCAGGACCUAAGCCGAGGCCGACAGGCGUAGGCGAUGGACAACAGGUUGAUAUUCCUGUACCACCUCUUUAUCGUUUGAGCAAUGGAGGGACGCAGAAGGAUAGAAGAAGCGUGCGAUUGGUUGUGCACGUCCAAGCAGUUAGGCUGAUAAGUAGGCAAAUCCGCUUAUCGUGAAGGCUGAGCUGUGAUGGGGAAGCUCCUUAUGGAGCGAAGUCUUUGAUUCCCCGCUGCCAAGAAAAGCUUCUAGCGAGAUAAAAGGUGCCUGUACCGCAAACCGACACAGGUAGGCGAGGAGAGAAUCCUAAGGUGUGCGAGAGAACUCUGGUUAAGGAACUCGGCAAAAUGACCCCGUAACUUCGGGAGAAGGGGUGCUUUCUUAACGGAAAGCCGCAGUGAAUAGGCCCAAGCGACUGUUUAACAAAAACACAGCUCUCUGCGAAGCCGUAAGGCGAAGUAUAGGGGGUGACACCUGCCCGGUGCUGGAAGGUUAAGGAGAGGGGUUAGCGUAAGCGAAGCUCUGAACUGAAGCCCCAGUAAACGGCGGCCGUAACUAUAACGGUCCUAAGGUAGCGAAAUUCCUUGUCGGGUAAGUUCCGACCCGCACGAAAGGUGUAACGAUUUGGGCACUGUCUCAACCAGAGACUCGGUGAAAUUAUAGUACCUGUGAAGAUGCAGGUUACCCGCGACAGGACGGAAAGACCCCGUGGAGCUUUACUGUAGCCUGAUAUUGAAUUUUGGUACAGUUUGUACAGGAUAGGCGGGAGCCUUUGAAACCGGAGCGCUAGCUUCGGUGGAGGCGCUGGUGGGAUACCGCCCUGACUGUAUUGAAAUUCUAACCUACGGGUCUUAUCGACCCGGGAGACAGUGUCAGGUGGGCAGUUUGACUGGGGCGGUCGCCUCCUAAAGUGUAACGGAGGCGCCCAAAGGUUCCCUCAGAAUGGUUGGAAAUCAUUCGUAGAGUGCAAAGGCAUAAGGGAGCUUGACUGCGAGACCUACAAGUCGAGCAGGGACGAAAGUCGGGCUUAGUGAUCCGGUGGUUCCGCAUGGAAGGGCCAUCGCUCAACGGAUAAAAGCUACCCCGGGGAUAACAGGCUUAUCUCCCCCAAGAGUCCACAUCGACGGGGAGGUUUGGCACCUCGAUGUCGGCUCAUCGCAUCCUGGGGCUGUAGUCGGUCCCAAGGGUUGGGCUGUUCGCCCAUUAAAGCGGUACGCGAGCUGGGUUCAGAACGUCGUGAGACAGUUCGGUCCCUAUCCGUCGUGGGCGUAGGAAAUUUGAGAGGAGCUGUCCUUAGUACGAGAGGACCGGGAUGGACGCACCGCUGGUGUACCAGUUGUUCUGCCAAGGGCAUAGCUGGGUAGCUAUGUGCGGAAGGGAUAAGUGCUGAAAGCAUCUAAGCAUGAAGCCCCCCUCAAGAUGAGAUUUCCCAUAGCGUAAGCUAGUAAGAUCCCUGAAAGAUGAUCAGGUUGAUAGGUUCGAGGUGGAAGCAUGGUGACAUGUGGAGCUGACGAAUACUAAUAGAUCGAGGACUUAACCAUAUAA
rnacentral:rRNA from 1 species